rnacentral:rRNA from 1 species
CCCUUAGAUGUUCUGGGCUGCACGCGCGCUACACUGACUGGUGCAACAAGUGUCGCUCCUUGGCCGAUAGGCCUGGGCAAUCUUUGAACGCCAGUCGUGAUGGGGAUAGAUUCUUGCAAUUUUUGAUCUUCAACGAGGAAUUCCUAGUAAACGCGAGUCAUCAACUCGCAUUGAUUACGUCCCUGCCCUUUGUACACACCGCCCGUCGCACCUACCGAUUGAAUGGUCCGGUGAACCCUCCGGAUCGGCCCGCGCCAACGCAAGUUGAGCAAAGGCCGAGAAGUUGGGUAAACCUUACCAUUUAGAGGAAGGUGAAGUCGUAACA